AAUGUAGUAAACCCCUUGUUAACUGGUAUUUUCAGUUCCUUAUUUUUGUUCACUUCCGUUCUUCUUCUUCUCACGUUUUCUCUCUUUCCCUCCUGCGAAAACUCAAAGAAGAACGUAAAAUGAAAUUCUCUUGCAUGUGUUUAGCUUCAUAGAUUAUAGUUACAAUGUGCUGUAAUAUUGAUUUGGGUUGGCUGAUUUGAUACACGGCAUGGAAUAAUUCUUCUUUUCCGUUCUUCAACUGGAAGCUCGUUGAAGAAAUCAUUCUCUUUACUCAAAGAUCAAGGUCAAGUACUACUAUUGGUAGUGGUAAUAUCAACGUCAAAUCGGGAUUAUCUUUAAUUUACCACGGUAAUCAUUCUUAUCCCGUAUUGAGCAUGUCUAAACGGUUAAUCAGUGAAAGUAGUAGUUGUAGAGGUAAGGAACCAAUAGUUGCAGCAGAAAGAAAAAUUUCGACAAGAAUUUAGGAUGAAUUGGUCAACAUUUGAUUUUAUAUGUAAUGAAUUACAACCAUUUUCAAUAACCAACACGAAAAAAGUUUCAACUAGUGAUUUUCGUAUAAAUGUAGCAGCACUCAUUUGGAAUUUAUUUUAGGUCAACCAAAUAAGGAUGUGGAAGCCAAGUUUGGCUUAACGUAUACACAAUGUCUUGUGAGUUUAAAUGCAUUUGUGGGAUCUUUGAUGCGAAAGUAUGUUAAGUGGCCCGAUGAAAGUGAAAUGGUUAACAUAAAAAACGAGUUUGAAAGAGUUUCUGGACUAGAAAACGUCGUAGGUUGAAUUAAUACAACUCGUAUCCAAAUAGCUAGACCGAAUUAAUACUAUGAUGAUCAACUUUCUGCAUGUAAUUCAGGACAUAUUUCAUAUUCAAUUGCUUUACAAGUAGUAGUCCAUCACAAGGGCGUGUUGACGAAUAUUUUUGUCGGUCAACCUGGUUCGUUGGAUGAUUACCAUGUUUAUCAAAGAUCCCCUCUAUGCAACAGGGAUUUACAAGGUUCUUGGAUAGCUAGUACUGACAAGUUCCGUUGACGGAUAAAAUUUUAGCUCCCUACAUAGAUUAGCCUAAUCUGACUCCGACACAGGACAUUUGACACUCAACUUUAUCAGAUUGAAUCAAUAGAAAGAGAAGCUUGUUUAAGAUUGAAGUCAAGGUGGCUAAUUCUAAAAAGAGAAACAGAUCAUCCUAAUUUAGAAACCAUAGAGGAAACUGUCAAAGCAUGUUGCACCCUUCAUAAUAUCUGUGCCAUUAAAGACGACAACAUAAGCCCGAGAUGGAGAUCGAGAGUGGAGGAUAACCUUAUCAUCCCUGAACCACCUGUUUUGUCAGAAGAUGCAAGUAACAAAAGAGAUGCACUUGCUGAAGAUCUUGCUAAGAAACUAGCAUCAGACUUGUAGCUUCGUUUGAAUAUCUGAACUCUGUUGUGAAAGUUUCUUAAUCAACAGAACGUGGUGCAGACUUUGAAGACGGACAACAAUUUAAUUGGGAGGUCUCUGAUGCUACUCAAUAAAAUGUCAAAUCCUUUCUUGGGCCAAAAUCAGCAUUCAGUUUUUUUAUCACCUUAAUAUGUAUGUAAUGUAGCUACUACUAGCCGUUCAGUUCCUUGUGUUUUCUGCUCUCUCCUUUUCUUUUUUCACCUUAGUGUGCUUCUUGCAAGUACAAUUAUAUAAUAAAUAAAUGAAUUAUAUGCACUGUUUGU